rnacentral:miRNA from 1 species
AAAGUGCACGUGCUUUGGGACA